CCUACGGGUGGCAGCAGUGGGGAAUAUUGCACAAUGGGGGGAACCCUGAUGCAGCAACGCCGCGUGAAGGAAGACGGUUUUCGGAUUGUAAACUUCUAUCAAUAGGGAAGAAAGAAGUGACGAUACCUAAAUAAUAAGCCCCGGCUAACUACGUGCCAGCAGCCGCGGUAAUUCGGAGGGGGCAAGCGUUAUCCGGAAUUACUUGGUGUAAAGGGAGAGUAGGCGGAAAGGUAAGCGAUAUGUGAAAGCCUUAGGGUUAACCUGAGGCUUGCAUAAAGUACUAUCUAGCUAGAGUACAGGCGAGGAAGGCGGAAUAAGUAGUGUAGCGGUGAAAUGCGUAGAUAUUAGGAAGAACACCAGUGGCGAAGGCGGCUUUCUGGACUGAAACUGACGCUGAGGCUCGAGAGCGUGGGGAGCGAACAGGAUUAGAUACCCUUGUAGUC
rnacentral:rRNA from 1 species